CAACGAGCCAGAAGAAAAAGAAAUUCGUUAGAAAACCAGAAGAAAAACGGACGGAUAUAUGAUUUUCUCGAGAAUGAACCCAGGCGUGGAGGUCGUGUCGCGGCUCGUGCGUGGAAACACACACAGUCCGGCUGGCAGUCGAAAGGGGGAGCGCAGUGAACUUGGUGUCGCGACGGAGCACGGCGCCGGCAAAUGGCGUCUGUGGUCGAUAGACACAUCGGUGGGUGGUUGGUUUCCUCCGUUACUACGGCGGAACGCAGCCAGGUUCGUAUGGGAAACCAAAAGAUGGUGUUGGGGUUGGUCGGCUGCCAUGCGGCCCGUCACGAAGACCUUGAGGUUUCGCCUUUAUCCUCCCCGGUUUAUACCUUCAACGUCAUGGCUGACGCCAUUUUUCUGACGUCAAUAAGAUCCUCGUGGCGUAGCCUAGAAAAACGAUUUUCUUCCUUGCCAUCGAGAACCUUCUGCGAAUCGUCCCUUUGACCGUACGUGACAUUUAUUACCGAUUGACGAAUCGGUAAUUUCUAUCGACAACGUUCUAUCAAUAACAUACACACACGCGCUAUAAACGUCUCCGGAGAGGAAUCCGAUAUAAGAGAAAUUACAGACAGGAGGUGUGAACAAUCAGGCGUGCAAAGUUAAUAUUAACCUCGGUCGGGGUCUUGCUUUCAGAGCUAAACGGUACGUAUGUGUGAAGAGUUCUGGUAAGUACACCCCUAAGACCUCGGAACACGUUGCUACCGCGUCGAUCGAUCGAUUUAUGGGUUCAGCCUCGCGGUUUCGAAACGGAUCUUUCUCAGCGAAUCAGAGACGACCACCACCUCCACCACGGAUACGAGGAAGACUCGAUUUAUGUGAAUUUCGCCUUGAUCCUUGUCCCACGACCAGCGGCGAGAUAACGCAGGCUGUUCGCUUGACCUUAAAAAUGCUAUCGGUUUCUCUUUUCCCUUGUCCCUACUACUCUUACAUUCGACGUGCCAUCGAAAUCUAAUCAUUUCGCCUGACUAGCUCGCGGAAGCACCUAUGCGAGACUUUAAUUUAAAGCGACGCCAAGCAACGCUGGUUAGCCGAUAAAAGACGGACCAAGAAUGCAAUCUGCGAAGGAGUCGAGGUCGUAAGGUGUUUCCUCUUGUUUUGCGUGUUUUCUAUCGAAUCGGGAUGCUUCAGAAAGAAAAUGGCGAUGAUACCGCGAAUAAAAUAGCCUCGCAAACAUAAAUAUCAAGAGGGAAGAAAAGAGGAUAGGAUAAAAACUAGAGACGAGCAGUGCUAGAUACCAUAAGGACAGCUGGAGAUGCGAAACACCAUAAAAGCAGGCGAACGCAACGGACUGACUGCCCUGGACAGGCGCAAGACGAGCAAGUGCCAUUGAUGCAAAUUUCGAAUUGGACGACAAGGAGAGAACAUCGAUUUCGUGAUACGAUCUUGUUUGAAGCAAUGCUUCCUGCUCGUGAUGGUAGCGCAGGUUGGUAUCAUUCAAUUGAUAACAUCGGAGUACUUCGGUAAUGCGUGGAACAAGAUUGCGACACGUCUCGAACAAUGCGAGCCUCUUUCAACACGUCAGCCAACGUACAUCCUUGAGUGUCCGGAAUUGCAUUUACAUAUUUUGUACGUUUUAUCUUGUACCUACUCGAAACACCUUCGUUCCGUGUAAUGCUGUCAGUAUCAAAGGAGACGUUGCUUCUCGUGUCGUGCACUGUUGUACUUACGACUUUUAUUAUAAUAUAAUUUCUGUGUACCUGCAUAUUCACUUCUCUUUUAUACAUAUGCCGUUUCUACUUACGAAAAAUAAAGAAAUUAAGGACUACACAACCUGACAAAUAAAUAAAAAUUAAAUGAUAAAACGCGGUAAAUAAUUUAAAAAUUCAAUAAUCAUAACUAUCCUUCUCGGUGAUUACAAAAUUAAAUUUGUAUUUUACACUCUAUUAAAUAAAAAAUGAUUUUUCACUCGA